UUUUAAUAGAUGGCACUACAUUUUUCUCUCAGUGUACUGCAUGCAAGCUGAUAGAAACUAUCACAGUUGAAGCAAAAUCGAUACAUAAAGGAGUUCACUUAUGUGUUUGACUUAAAAAUAGUUCAAGUACUUAAAGGGCUAUUAUUGAAAAAGUUAUUAUUAAACAGAAUAUUUCUACCGUAAAAUACUCACAAUGGAGUUCACUAUUUUGUGGAUCAAUGUCAUUAGUUUAUUGUUAUAUUCCUCCAAUUCAAAUAAUGUAUUUGCACUACUGUCGUCAAAUCUGAAUAAUAAAUCAAUGGAAUUGGACACCACAUUCGAUUGUUAUGUAUCACUUCAAAAUAAACAUGGUCACU